rnacentral:tRNA from 1 species
CCCCUCGUAGUUCAAUGGACAGAAUAUAGGCUUGCGGAGCCUGCGAUGAAGGUUCGAUUCCUUCCGAGGGGA